rnacentral:rRNA from 1 species
CAGUCGCCACGGUAAUACGAAGGGUGCAAGCGUUACUCGGAAUUACUGGGCGUAAAGCGUGCGUAGGUGGUGGUUUAAGUCCGUUGUGAAAGCCCUGGGCUCAACCUGGGAAUUGCAGUGGAUACUGGGUCACUAGAGUGUGGUAGAGGAUAGUGGAAUUUCCGGUGUAGCAGUGAAAUGCGUAGAGAUCGGAAGGAACAUCUGUGGCGAAGGCGACUAUCUGGGCCAACACUGACACUGAGGCACGAAAGCGUGGGGAGCAAACAGGAUUAGAUACCCCCGUAGUCCCUGUCUCUUAAAC